AUACAUGCAGUCGAGCGGACAGAUGGGAGCUUGCUCCCUGAUGUUAGCGGCGGACGGGUGAGUAACACGUGGGUAACCUGCCUGUAAGACUGGGAUAACUCCGGGAAACCGGGGCUAAUACCGGAUGGUUGUUUGAACCGCAUGGUUCAAACAUAAAAGGUGGCUUCGGCUACCACUUACAGAUGGACCCGCGGCGCAUUAGCUAGUUGGUGAGGUAAUGGCUCACCAAGGCAACGAUGCGUAGCCGACCUGAGAGGGUGAUCGGCCACACUGGGACUGAGACACGGCCCAGACUCCUACGGGAGGCAGCAGUAGGGAAUCUUCCGCAAUGGACGAAAGUCUGACGGAGCAACGCCGCGUGAGUGAUGAAGGUUUUCGGAUCGUAAAGCUCUGUUGUUAGGGAAGAACAAGUACCGUUCGAAUAGGGCGGUACCUUGACGGUACCUAACCAGAAAGCCACGGCUAACUACGUGCCAGCAGCCGCGGUAAUACGUAGGUGGCAAGCGUUGUCCGGAAUUAUUGGGCGUAAAGGGCUCGCAGGCGGUUUCUUAAGUCUGAUGUGAAAGCCCCCGGCUCAACCGGGGAGGGUCAUUGGAAACUGGGGAACUUGAGUGCAGAAGAGGAGAGUGGAAUUCCACGUGUAGCGGUGAAAUGCGUAGAGAUGUGGAGGAACACCAGUGGCGAAGGCGACUCUCUGGUCUGUAACUGACGCUGAGGAGCGAAAGCGUGGGGAGCGAACAGGAUUA
rnacentral:rRNA from 1 species